rnacentral:lncRNA from 1 species
GAAUCAGGAAUAAGGAUCUUAUAUCUAAAGAUCAAAUUAUAAAGUAGUGAUAUGAAAAGUAACAUGUGGUGUAGCCUAUUAGAGGCAUAGUAUAGGGUGAACUUGAACUUUUGUGCAAUCGUUUCAAGGAAUUAAUAUAAACCCUAUUUUUGCUAACUGAUGUGUUGAAUGAUUGUCUGAUUUUCUUGUAUGGUGACUUGGUCGACUGCGGGACAAUACUUGGGACGAGUACGAGUAGGUGUGAAAGGUAGUAGAUGCAUAUGCUACCGGAAGCACAGGACUCGCACUUGGAUCAGGGAAAGUCACAAGGUUACCAAGAAGCUAGUGAUCGAUUCCAUUUUAUUCUGGUAUGUCAUUACCAUUGUUUCGGUAAUGACUAGUAAGAUGGUUCUUGUUCCGACCUUAGUGGUCAUGUUUAAAUUGAGUCCGACUACGAGGAGUUUGUUACGUGGUUCAUGGAACCAAGUUUGAUGUAACAUCUGACUUAAGUCAGAGGGUUGAAGUUAAUGCGAUUGAUAGUGUCGCGCUCGUUGUUAAAAGGAGUUUGUAGGUAGAAAUGCUACAUGCUGACAUGUGAUUAAAUCACAUUAGAAUAUGAAGGAAGGUAUAUUCCAUUCUGGAAUUUAACUUUAUUAAAGACCGAGUCUAAGCGUCGCAUCGUGCGAUGAGAGCUCAAUAGAGCACGACCCAUCGGUUUGUUACAAUAGAUAAAGGAAAGUAUUUAUCCUGAGAAGAAGAAGGAGUCCACAAUGAGGACUUAUUUGGUAACUUGAAGGUUACGAUUGAAAGUACAACAUAGUACGAUAAGCAGAUGCAAGAUUGGGCAUCGUCUGCGGUCAAGAAAGCCAUAGAGUUAAAUACUCUUUCGAGGAAACAUAGAAUUUACGGUUAUUACCUAGGAUGAAGAGAUAACGUGUGGAAUCAUUAUGCAAGUCCUAUUUCGUUGAUGAUUCCGGGACGUAAUCAUCCUAAGGGGGAGAUAAUUGUAACGCCCGUAGAUCAGGGCUAGUCAAUUUAGAGACGAUAAGCGUCAAAAAUGACUUUUUGAUGGAAGAUUAUCUAGAAGGAUUAAUCUUAACCAAGUUGUAGUAUAUGUCACAAGGUUUCCGUGCAUAUAAAGAACGCCAAAAUCCGAGUUAUAACGAAGAAGUUAUGACCUGUCGAAGUUUCGCGACAGAACCGGCACGACACAGCGCGACGUAAAAAGUGAAUUUACGUUAGAGCGAUAUUUAGCCUUAGCAAUCUAAAUGAAAAUCGAAGAUCUCGUUGUUGGUAUCGAAGCGAUAAAAAGUUAGGCGAGAACGGACGUCAAACGAAGAAGUUAUGAAUUUAUAACGAAAGUUUAUGUCGCGGCCUAUUAAAAAUAAUUAAUAAAAAUAAAGUCAAAAUUAGCCGACGGAGUCUAAACGAAAGUUGUAGAGCGUAGUCUCACCUUCGCGUGGAUAUAAAGAACGUCGAAAACGGAGUUCGUAUGAAGAAGAUAUGAAUUUCCGAAGAUUAUUAAAUAAUUUGUAUUUAUUUUUAAUCUUUAAUUCGGAAGCAUUAUCCGAAGGAGUCACCGGUCUGAUCCGAGGUACGCCCCGCGUACUCGAGUACGCCCCUCAUACUCCAAAGGUGUCGACAUCGCAGCAAGUGGCCUCGAAUACGUUAGCAGUGACGUUUCUCGGACCAGUACGCCCCGCGUACUCCGAGGCUCCAGCCUCUAUAUAAAGGAUCCGAAGACAGCCUUCUUUGUUGUUCAUUUUCUUCUCUUCUCUCUAGUCUUUUGCAUCGUUUUUCGUGCCGAAGCUAUCCCGAAGCCCCGGUAUUAUACUCUAGCCCCGAGGCAAGUCCCGAGAUCCCGAAGAUCCCGAGAAGUGCGGUUCCCGAGUCGAAGCUCUGCCCGCGAGAAGUUCGAUUUUUGAAGAGAUCUUCCAGAUCUGCUGAGGAUUACUACUUCUGCAAGUCGUAGUGCUGUCCGAUCAUCUUCUGAUCAAGUGAGUGUAUACUACCUUUCACAAACACGAUAAUAAUACAAGUAUGGUUCGAGUGUAUUAAGUAUAUUGCUGUUUAUACGUGUGAGUGUGUAGUUACUUUCUUCUGACACAUAAAUAUUAAGUAUGUUCUAUAAAAUACGUGCUACGUGUAUGAGAUAAAGUUGUUUAUAUGUGUGGGUGUAUAGUCCCUUUCAUAAACACGGGUAUAAUACAAAUAUUGUUUGAAUGUAUCACGUAUAUGUUUGGGAGAAAGAGUGGUUACUUCCUUCCAACACAUAAAUGUGAAGUAUUUGUUAUAAAAUACGUGCUAUGUGUUUAUAUAUUGUUGUUUAUUUGAGAUGAGUAUGGAAUGAAUGUCUUAUAUAGUUUUUAAAUGAGUUAAACUGUAUAUGUAUUCCAUAUCUACAAAUAUGUUGGGUAGAACAUGGGUAGAUGAGAUAGUUGGUAUGUGAUAAAAUGAUGAUGUAUGUAAGAUGAUCAAGAAUGAUAUUGAUAGAUGCACCAAUUAGAGAAUGUCAUAAUACUAGCAGAUGCGCUCAAGCAUAGUAUUGGUAGAUGCACCAAAGAGAAAGUGACAUAAUACUAGUAAAUGCACUUAAGUAUAGUAUUGGUAGAUGAAACUAAAAGAGCAUGCCAUAAUGCUAGCAGAUGCGCUUGAGAAUAAUAUUGGUAGAUGCACCAAGUAGUGAAUGUCGUGAUCUUGGCAGAUGCGCCAAAUAGAGAUUGUCAUAACAAUAGCAGAUGCGCUUAUAGGAUAAUCUUGGCAGAUGCGCUUAUAGGAUAAUGUCGGCAGAUGCGCCUAAAAGAGAAUGUCAUAAACCUGGCAGUCGCGCCUCAUAGUGUAUGACGUAAUCCUGGCAGAGGCGCUUAAAGGAUAAUGUUGGCAGAUGCGCCUUAUGUAGCAAUGGAAGUUUGUGUAAAUUCCUUAGGUCAAUCCUUAGGAAUGAAGGAAUGACGAGUAGUUGAAUUCCUAGGGUAAAAUCCUAAGAAACAUAAUAGGGAUGAGUAAUUGAGUUGAUUGUUUGAUGGUUGAAUAUAAUAAUUGUAUUAUUGUGGGUUGAAAACCCUAUAUGCUCACCAGGCUCCCAAGCCUGACCCACUCAGUUUUCUUUGCAUUACAGGUAAUGGCACAAGAGUAUAAGUUGGUGGACUUGACGAGAGAUUUUGGAUUAUAGGCCAGUAGUUAUGAAUAACUGUUGUAAGGUCUAUUUAUUAUUGUUUAUGCUUUUGGUCUGUAUCGGAACAUGACAUCCCGAGGUUUUAUUAUUUAAUGAAAAUACAUUCUCUUUGAGAAACGUUUUGAUAAAUGGUUAUCAUAUUUUAUUUUGGGAACAAAUUCCGCAACCGUUUUCUUUAAACGAUCACUCUGAUUUAUAAAACAAAGCAUAAACAAAUCGGUCUUUUCUGGCCGUGAAAAUGGGGAUGUCACAGUUGGUAUCAGAGCAUUAGUUUAAGCGAACUAGGAAUUUGUAGGAAAUUUCUAGACUUAAACUUAGAAUGCUAAGUAAUGAUUGUGAGGAGUGUGUCUAAAAUAUGUUAGGUAGUACACCUAAAUUGACACAAGCACUAGUUUAUUUUAGGAAUGAUGCCUAAAAUGCUUUUAUGUGCUAAAUGUUUUGUGUGAUAGCUAAAUUGAUGCUAUUAUUUGUUCGGAUCUAUGGUCUGUUGCCGACCGGAUCUGGAAACCUUAUGUGUUUAGGAUUCUAAGCGUACGUCUACGAUAUUAGAACUAGCAUGUAAACGUUUCGGAGUGAUAAGGGCGAUGUGAAUAUCUAUCGUGAUUGAGGAUAUAAUUUCACCUUAUUUGGUGUGUAGAUCAAAAAUGGUGAGAACAAGAAGUGGAGUUGGAAAUGCUGAUGAAAACAGGAAUCAACCACCAGUGAUUGAGCAAAUACCUGUCGUAGCAGCAGCACCUGAGCCAAUAACCAUGGCUGGUGUGCAAAUGAUGAUUCAGACGAUGUUGGAUCGUCAGAUGGAUGAAACUAGACGGUUGCUUCAGCAGAAUCGUGAAGAACUGUCAAUUCGAGUGGAAGAGCCUGAAUUAAAUGAAGGGCACUCGGAAGGUGGAAACUUCAGUGGGUCUGUUGGUCAAGCCAACCCACCGAUAGUUAGGCAAAACAACCAGAAUGGAAGGAACGAUGGAAUGGGAUGCAAGUAUAAGGAUUUUCUGACUUGCAAACCAUCGACCUUCACUGGAAAGGAAGAUCCGAUCGGAGUUAUGGAUUGGAUAUCGGAAAUGGAGCUAGCCUUCAUGACUUGUGGCUGCAGAGGCAAGUUGCAGACUACCUAUGCAGUGCGUCAGUUCAGGGGUGGGGCUGUUCGUUGGUGGAACACUUUGGGGAAGAUCCUAAGUCCUAAUGAGCCACUGCAACUGACCUGGGCAGAGUUCUUGGUGCAAUUCAAGCGCAAGUUCUGCUCUGCUCAAAAUCUAUUGGAGUUGGAGAAUAAGUUUCUGAUAUUGAAGAAAGGCAGCAUGUCAGUGGAUGAAUACACUAAUGCUUUCACAGACAAGAUGGAGUUUGCUUUACGCAUCGUUCCAGACGAACUGACAAAAGUCGAUCGGUAUGCCAAGGGACUCCCUUGGGAGUAUGCGGUGCCAGUGCGUCAGGCACCUACUCUAGAGGCAGCUAUUUGGGCUGCCAAGUCUGUUGAGAAUAUGAUCAAGGGGAGGACUGACAGUAAGGUUGAAGUUGGUGAGAAGAGAAAGUUAGAAGGAACUUCAGGUUCUAAUGAGAAAAGAAAAUCCUCGAAGUCUGGAGGAGGAGGAAGGGAUGAGGCACGGUGGUGCGAUAAGUGCAAGAAGAAGCACUCAGGAAAAUGUGGCGUGGAAGUGACAUGUUUCAAGUGUGGAAAGCAUGGGCAUUACGCCGAUGAAUGUAUUUUCAACAAAAAGGUGUGUUACGAAUGUAACGAAGAGGGGCACUUCAAGCAAGACUGCCCAAGGAAAAAUCAAACAGCAAGGCUAGAGGCGCCGCCAAAGCUAAAGGCAAGAGCAUUUCAAAUGAUCCUUGAUGAAGCAGAUGGCAAUGCAAGGAAUCAGGAAUAAGGAUCUUAUAUCUAAAGAUCAAGUUAUAAAGUAGCGAUAUGAAAAGUAACAUGUGGUGUAGCCUAUUAGAGGCAUAGUAUAGGGUGAACUUGAACUUUUGUGUAACCGUUUCAAGGAAUUAAUAUAAACCCUAGUUUUGUUAACUGAUGUGUUGAAUGAUUGUCUGAUUUUCUUGCAUGGUGACUUGGUCGACUACGAGGCAAUACUUGGGACGAGUAUGAGUAGGUGUGAAAGGUAGUAGAUGCAUAUACUACCGGAAGCACAGGACUCGCACUUG